GCCGGAGUAGCUCAGUGGUAGAGCGAUACUUUCGUAAAGUAGCGGCCGAGGGUUCGACUCCCUCCUCCGGCU
rnacentral:tRNA from 1 species